CCGUCAUGAUGCUGAUGCUCUCCAUCCAUUUGUUUUGGCUGCUCUCUUCUUCAGGAGAAGACACAUUUAGAAGGAACCCAAGGUGGCGUAAAUGGUCUUCAUCUUCUUCGUUUUAUCCUCACAACAACCCUUUGAG